UUCAAUCUCAACUUUGUUUAUUCCUCCUAUAUUGUUGGUAGGGAUAGGGAAUGAGUACAAAUGGCCUUGGACUAUCUUUUGUUGGUUAGUUUCGUCUGGAGUGGGCUUGAGUGGUUAUUAGCUUUUUAGCAACGCUACAUCUCAGGUUCGAUUCCUAAUACUGAACUCUCCAAAAAAAUAAAUAAAUAAAUAAAUUCACAUAAAUUUUUAAACUGCAAUUUUAGAAUAAUCUCAAAGGUGUAUGUUGUUGAUUAAUGGCAUGCAAUAGUGAGGGUGAAUGUCUAGUGUUUUUUUGCUCUGUGGGUAGCUUUUAGGAAAUUAUUAAUAGGCGGUUUUGGGCUCUGGGCCGCCUAGGUGCUAAGGCGGCCACCUAAGCGGGGGCCUAGACCCAAAGGUGGUCUGUGUUGUGUUUUUUAAAAAAGGUUGGAUCCCCACACCUCGCCCCAUUUUAUUGUAUAUACUAUAUGAUAACAAUUACUCAUUAAUACUAUUUUUUUAUUACCAAUAAAUUAAUAAUUACGAAUUAAUACUAUUGUUUUGGUUUACCAAUGUGCGCAAUGUUCAAAAAAACGGAUUCGGGUGCCUAAGCGGUUUGGGUGCCUGACUGUCUAGGCAGUCAGGCGCCCGCCUAGGCGAGCGCCCAGGGACAGGGUGCCCUCACCAAAAUCAAGACACUCCCCACUCCAAUCAUAUAAAAUAGGGGAGUUCUUAGGGCAUAGUUUAUAGCCUUGGGGAGUUUUUAGCGCAUGGUUUAUGGCCUUAUGGAGUUUUUUGGGCAAUUUUAGAACUCCAAACUCCUCAUGAUCAUGAAAUAAACGAAAACAUGAUAAUACAUCAAUACAAUACUACAAUGAGGACAAUCACUUUACAUAUUUACGGAUGAGACAAUCAUACAAGUCUCAAGGAGAUUGUAUAAAAUAUUAAAAUGCUUGAAAUCCCAAAUGUCAUUGUAGGAACUAGGAAACUAGAAGUUCAUACUAGAAACGAAUCAACGCUAAAGUCAUACACAAGUCAACAAGGCAAAAUCAAAAAACAAAUACAUCAAGUCAUCAUUCAUCAACUAAACAACUCUAUGGCAUCAGCGGCGUCAUCACUCAGGGUGUUCAAUUUCAUCAUGAGGAGCAUCUGAUGAUGAUGUUGUUGCUAUGCCAUCAUCAUCAGAGUCAUCGCCCUCCUCAACAUAUUGAGUGUCAUCCCUUGUCUCCUUUAAAUCUACUUCUUCCUCUUCAUCAUCCACUCUUAAUGUCAAUGCCCUCUUCCCCUUCUUCCUCACUGCCUUCUCCUUCCCCUUCCCCUUCGUUUGCCUCUGACUCUGAGUUUGAGCACGUGUGGUAUGCGUAGGGGGCAUUGUUGUCCCAGCAGCCUCACGAACCUGGCCCGAGGUCAAGCCCUCUUCAAGGAAAACCUCAUCUUCACUGGCAUGGACCAUCCACUCGCAUGUGUCAUCAAUAUCAAAAGCUUCAACAGCAUCCCUUUGAUUGUGCUCCAGCUGAUGAUGGCGCUUUUGCAACUUUUGAUUAUACUGAACAAAGACUAGGUUAUUCAGUUGUUUUUGCUCUAGUUUGUUCCUCUUCUUUGUAUGCACCUAAUUAAAAAAAACUCACUUAGUUACUAACUUGCUAAGUACUAACUAGUCUACUAGACUAUUAUUAAGUAUGUAUGACAUUAACUUAAUAAGUAAUAUUACCAUUCAAACGUGCUAAAGUUGCGCUCACAUCCAAAAGAGCUGCAAGUCAUAUUUAGUAUUUUCAUGGCCAUCUACCUCAAACGAGGGGUGCUUCCAACAUGCGCCUAUUUCAUGUAAAUGUAAAAUUGUGAAUAUAGUAAUUUAGUAAAUUAGGAAUCUAGCCAUCUGGUUAAUUGAAAUUAAAUACUCAAAUUGAAGAAGUUCUAAACUUACCAGGAGAGCCUUAUCCUGCACUUUAGGGUCAGGGUUGAGCUUCACAUUGCACUGGUUAAAGGCUUCCAUGAACUCAGCCAUGCUAUGUACUUCAACAUCGGUGUAAAAGUGAGUAGGGUAAGUGUAGGAGCCUCUCAAGCUGGGAGUUCCAUUUGUCUUCAAUAAUCUCCAAAAAAGGCCCAUACCUCUUUCCUGCUGUCCACAAGUUGUCAUGGGGCGGCGCUUAGGUGGCUGCCUAGACAAUAGCGCCUACGCGAGCGCUCAGAAGUAAAACGCCUUAUGCACCCACCCAGGCUACGUCUACGUGUUUGAAAUUUUUUUUGACUAGGCGUUCGGGCAGCCGAAUUUUCGAACAUUGGAUGUGCGUCAUAUGACCUGUCAAUGGUGCAUUAUCGCGUAAAUAUAAAAAUCGUGCAUACCAAUCUCUCUUUGAGUGAAGUUUGAAGGGGUUGCAUAACACCAUAAAAAUAUCAUUUUACUGUAACGACCUGCCAAUGGUGAUAAAAUGUCAAAGAGAAUUUCAAAGACAUUAUUCUUGUUUACAUAUAACACUUGGGUUUUUGAAUUUGGGAAAAGUUAGACAUAUGAUUCAAUGGAAUUUACUCCCAAUGCAAUACAAUGGAUAAGCGAACUUCAAGAACCUCAAUCCUAAUGACUUCUUGAAGACCCAUAAGGACGCAUGGGCAAUAUAUCGUUACAUUGUUAUGACUGAUGGUUGGAGUUACAAGAGAAAUAGAAGCAUUAUGAAUUUGUUUGUGAAUUGUCCAUUAAGGACCAUGUUCUUGAGGUCUAUUGAUGCUUCUAAUAAGUCCCAUAAUACGGCCUUUAUUUAUGAUUUGGUAGACAAGUGCAUAGAGGAGAAUAAAGUGGUCCAUGUAGUGACCGAUAUGUACUCUGCCCAUAUGGCAGCCGCUAGGUUAUUGAUGGAGAGGAGGCCUCAUAUUUUCGACUCACCUUGCGUAACAAACUGCAUAGAACUCAUAUUUGAAGCGAUUGGUAAGAGGAAAUCAAUGAAGAUAACCAUGAAAAAAGUGAAGACUGUCACAAUCUAUUUAUACAGUCACAUUUAGGAAAAAACUUGAGGUUUAACCAUGUUAAUGCUUUGUUGUUACUUAUUUUGAUUCUUUUGAAUGCAUAUAUGUUUUGUGAUGUCAUUAUUGUUACAUGUAAAUAACGAAUUAAUAGUUACGAAUAAAUUAUGAUAUUUUCAAGGCGGCUUCUAGGUGCGCCCACCUUUUACAUCGCCUAGGCGGGCACCUUAGGCACCUAGUUCUUGCGCCUAAUAGCGUUCACCUUAAGAAUGCCUACCCGUUUUCUCCAAAAAGCCGCCUUGGCAGUCGGGCGGACGAUUUUUGUAUCAUUGUUCAUGGUAAAAAGAAUUCCUCAAGAAACCAAUCUUGAUACAUAUAUAGAGGAAUUGAUGUUAAUUUAUCAAAUUCCGCUAUUUUUAAACUCCCAUUGAAAAUCGUGUAAGAUACUUCAAAUUCAAUUUCUGGUCUUUCGAGGCUUUAUUGAUAUUUAUUAUUACUCCCUAAAUCCAGGGCCCCAAUUUGCAGAUUCUGAGAGGACCAUGCUUCCACUGUGCUACUCUGAUUCGAUUGCCCUAAAUCUCCUAAAUGUUCUACUUCUUGGUAUCUUCUAGAUCUUCAUUUUUUUUUAGUUAGAGGUCUGUUCAACGACGAAAUCUUGUUCAUCAUCAAAAAUAGGACUUUCAUCGAAGAUGGGAUCUUCUAGUUCCUUAUAAAAAAUGCGAUCACUAUAAAAGAUAUGAGGACUAUUAAGGAUAGGACUUUCUAUUGAUUCCAAGAAUAUUAAAUCCAAUCGAAGAUUAGAUUCUUUUUGUUCGUCUUCAAAACUAUGUUCCCGUCAAUGUUGUGGAAACCAUUUGUAAUUUAAUACGCCAUCAGUCUGUUCCCACUCAGACUUGGACUCUGAUUCCCGCCAUUCUCCAGAAGCUUCAUGAUUUGGAUAUACCCUAGUAGAUUUCUCUUCAUUUAGGGCAUGUUGUUACUGGCCUCGCUCGCACGGCAAUAGCUCUAUAACCCUCUCUCUCAAGUUAUUGAUUUCCAUGUGCAGUUGGAUCAGAUUGGUAUCAAUGUAGUUAAAGCCUCCAUGACCAGCCAUCGCAAUCUCUAACCAUCUUCGUGUCAUGCUCUAAUACCACUUGAUGCAAGAAGGAAAGGUGGAAAAUUAAAUCCACCGUUUUCCUUAACCUUAAACAUGUAAAAAAACAAUAAUAGAGAAAGAACAUGGUUGUAAAUCAAGCCAAGAAAAAAAUAACUUUAUUUUUUCCUAAAAUAAUAUCCAUUCAAAUAACAUAAGUAUCCCUAAAUUUGACAUCCAACCUUUUAUAAGCCUAUGAAACCCAAGUAAACAAUUAAGACUCUAAACUAACCCUAAACAAUAUUAAAAUUUUAAAAUGCCUUUAUGAGUUGUAAUGUAUGAACAAUACCUAUGAACAGUAAUUAUGAAUGGUACUCGUGAAUAGUAAAUAAAGAAAAUAUAAAAAAUCCUAGAAUCCCAAAAAACUUACAAACUCUUAAUCCUUGGAAAACUAAAAGACCCUAAAAACAAUAUCCUAAAAACUAAAAUUAAAAUAUGUCUCUUGAAAUUAAACAAGAAAUUAAAAACUAGAAUAAUUUUUGUCCUGCAUCAAAAGGUAUGGGGAAUAUUUGAACAUUAUUGAAGAGAAAUGGAACUACCAACUUGAGAAGCCCCUACGUCAGUAAGGUACUACCUUAGCCUUGCUCACUUUUGUAUCGAUCACGAGGUACAAAGUAAGACCGAAUUCAUGGAAGCUUUCAACAAUGCAAUAUGAAACUCAACCCUGAUCCCAAAGUCCAGGACAAGGUAAUGACGGACUUAGAAAAGUAUAGGCUCUAUAUUAGGUCUCUUGGUAAGGGGUUGGCAAUAAGGCAUUGGACCAAGAUCUUUGCUGAUGAGUUUUGAACGUCAUCUUGAUUUCAUGAUUUGAAUAUUGAACUUCAACAAGUAGUCACUCAUUUCUUUUAGAAAUUAUGUACCAGCUCAACCCCGGCUUGGGCUGAGACUGAUCAACAUCAGUUUAUAUGCUCUGGCCAAAGAGCGGGCCCAAUGGCUGAAGCAGCCUCUUUCCAUCUCGAGAAAUACACAAGGGUGAUUAAAUAUCUCCUGCGUGGCAAGGCUCCAGGCCACACAGGUUUCCAGUGGCUCUGUUCCUGCAAUUCUUGGAUACCUUAGCCCAAGAUGUACUGUCGUUUUUCUUAGACUGCUUUCAUAGAGGGAUCAUCACGAGGGGAUGAAUUCCAAUUUCAUUGCCCUUGUGCCUAUGAUAGAAGGAGCAAUGGAGUUCAAAGACUUUAGGCACAUUAUCCUGCUCAACCAUUCCUACAAAAUUCUCUUUUAGAGUGUUGGCACUAGACUAAGGAAAGUUCUCGAUAGUGUUCUCUCUCCUAACCAAGGCACUUUCAUCAAAGGACUAACAAAUCUUCGAUGGGUCUCUGAUCACACAUGAAUGUGUUCAUGCAAGACACCAAUAUAUUGUUCCUGGCUUGGUCUCAAAAUUAGAUUGAGUUAAAGCUUACGACUAUGUCAAUUGGGAGUUGCUAGACCAGUUCCUCAACUGUAUGAGCUUCAGUUAGAAUUGGAGAUCCUGGAUCUCUGGGUGUAUUGCAUCAGUUUCUUUAUCAGUCUUGAUCAAUUGGAGUCCUCGCAGCAGCUAUUCCCCCCCCCCCCCCCUCCUUAUCUAAAUUGAGCAGUAUGAAUGGACUCUCACAUAUCCUUUUAUUCUGCUUUUUGUUUCUCCCUUUCUUUCUCAUAUCCUUUUAGUCUGGUUUUUGUCUAAUGUUAAGAGACUUCAGCACAUAAUGAGAACUUCCUUUGGUCAGGGGAACACAGAAAACAUAAGUUUCAUGUAGUAAAGUGGGACACUGUUUCCAAAUCCAUUAGGUAUGGAGGAUUGCACAUUAGGUUCCUAAAGGAGAUGAAUAGGGCCCCGUGGGGAAAAUGGUGAUGGCACUUUGCAAUAUAGGAUGACUAACUUUGGAUGCUCGUUAUUCAAUGAUGGUAUGGUUACGAGGGCUUAGGCUUUUGCUAGAGAUUCAACCAUUGCAAGGGCCUGGGGGACUGGAAAGUAUCAUCUUUGCAUAUUUGCGCCAUUUCAUAUUCGGUUGAUGGCAGAAACUAAAGAUAAUAUUCAAAUGUGGAGACAUCAAUGAUUUUGGAAGCCCAAUUCCCUAUCAUCUUCCCAGUGGCAGCUGACCAAGGUUGUCAUGUCUCUGAUGUGAACAAAGUUCUCUUUAGGCACGCUGUUUAAUCCAAGGUUUAGAACAGAAUUGUCCAAUGAUGAAAUCCGAGGCCCGAUAACCUUGUUAUAACCCCUAAAUCAAGGUUCUUUUUGGCAUAACAUCUUUCUAUGAGCAGCUUUGGCCAAGUGAACUUCCCCUACCAUUGCCAGUGAGGUAUGGCUCUCCCCAGCCUGACCCAUAACCUAGGUUCUCGGUUGGUUAUUGAUAAGCAAAAAGGCCCUCAUGGUGGACCACAUCCAGCGUGGGGGAAUACACUUCACUGACAAAUACAGACGUAUCAUGAACAAAACCAAACUAGGAAUCAAUUGGGUUAGUAGGAUUUCUAUUUGUGCUUGUAGACUGAAGUCAGUGUUAGAAUUAUUUAUGAGCCCAUUGAACUGUACAAGAGUUCUGGUUAUGCUGUUGCUAUAAGUAAUCCAAAAGAGUAAAUAAAGGGGGAAAAAAAGUUCUUGGCUUUCCUUGUGGAACUUGCAUAAUAUCAACAAUUGAGUUUAUCAUUUGCCCACUAUUCAUGGAAAUGGGAAUGGAUUUUUAAAUAAUAUUAAUUUAUGGAAGUAUAUCUUAGGUUUUGUAAAGAAAUAUUGAUUUUACUUCUGGAAAUAAUCAUAGAAAAAAAAAAAAGAAGCAAAGCAAAGCCCUCUAACAUAGUUCUGAAGUAAAAAGAUGCAUUUUAUCUGUUUCCAAAAUGACUGGAACUCCUUGAAUAUUUUGUGGCCCUCAUUUCUAGCAGACAAGCAUUAAAAUAAUUAGUUUGUGUAUUUUCUUUAUCUGUGGAUGGAGGCCAGAAUCUAUGCAGUGAUUUUCUAUGUGGCCAAUAAUUCCCAUUGACACUUUUUUGUUUUUUUCCAAAACAGCUUUUCCUAGAUAAAUUCGACACUCAAGUUAUCCUUGAUUCGGUUUGAUAAAGUGGAUGUCACGCUUAGGCCGGAAUUAGAGGCUUCGGAUGAUGUCACUUUGGCAGCAAAGUUUGAGGAAGCAAAGGAGGAGGAGAAGCUCUUAAUCAACACAGAGGCUUCAGUGACAUGGUGGCAAAGAUUUGUUUUGAAUGCAUUACGGAGUGGGCUGGAAUUUUUGCUCUUGUUGUUCUUAGGGUUUUCACUUUCUUUUUUUUAUUAUGUGCAGGCUGAGAAAAAGAGGAAGCUCAAUAUGCAGGAAAAGGAAGGGAAAAGUAGAGGCAUUUCAAGUUUUAGGCACAAAGUUAUGCAUCAAAUUUGCAUUGCAGGAAUGCUCCCCCUCGCCCAUUGGAUAUAUUUUGUUUGGUGAAUAUAUUGUGAAUUCUCAGAUUCGAAGGAUCUGACACUUUGAAAGUUCUUAUUGACAUAUAUAAUGUGAAGUUCUUUGGUUGAUCUCGGGGCCACCUUGGGUCGAUUAAUGAAUGGACAGGACAGCUAGUUAUUUGAGAUAAAAGUGAUGUUUAAAGCCUGAA